GAUGAACGCUGGCGGCGUGCCUAAUACAUGCAAGUCGAGCGAACGGACGAGAAGCUUGCUUCUCUGAUGUUAGCGGCGGACGGGUGAGUAACACGUGGAUAACCUACCUAUAAGACUGGGAUAACUUCGGGAAACCGGAGCUAAUACCGGAUAAUAUUUUGAACCGCAUGGUUCAAAAGUGAAAGACGGUCUUGCUGUCACUUAUAGAUGGAUCCGCGCUGCAUUAGCUAGUUGGUAAGGUAACGGCUUACCAAGGCAACGAUGCAUAGCCGACCUGAGAGGGUGAUCGGCCACACUGGAACUGAGACACGGUCCAGACUCCUACGGGAGGCAGCAGUAGGGAAUCUUCCGCAAUGGGCGAAAGCCUGACGGAGCAACGCCGCGUGAGUGAUGAAGGUCUUCGGAUCGUAAAACUCUGUUAUUAGGGAAGAACAUAUGUGUAAGUAACUGUGCACAUCUUGACGGUACCUAAUCAGAAAGCCACGGCUAACUACGUGCCAGCAGCCGCGGUAAUACGUAGGUGGCAAGCGUUACCCGGAAUUAUUGGGCGUAAAGCGCGCGUAGGCGGUUUUUUAAGUCUGAUGUGAAAGCCCACGGCUCAACCGUGGAGGGUCAUUGGAAACUGGAAAACUUGAGUGCAGAAGAGGAAAGUGGAAUUCCAUGUGUAGCGGUGAAAUGCGCAGAGAUAUGGAGGAACACCAGUGGCGAAGGCGACUUUCUGGUCUGUAACUGACGCUGAUGUGCGAAAGCGUGGGGAUCAAACAGGAUUAGAUACCCUGGUAGUCCACGCCGUAAACGAUGAGUGCUAAGUGUUAGGGGGUUUCCGCCCCUUAGUGCUGCAGCUAACGCAUUAAGCACUCCGCCUGGGGAGUACGACCGCAAGGUUGAAACUCAAAGGAAUUGACGAGGACCCGCACAAGCGGUGGAGCAUGUGGUUUAAUUCGAAGCAACGCGAAGAACCUUACCAAAUCUUGACAUCCUUUGACAACUCUAGAGAUAGAGCCUUCCCCUUCGGGGGACAAAGUGACAGGUGGUGCAUGGUUGUCGUCAGCUCGUGUCGUGAGAUGUUGGGUUAAGUCCCGCAACGAGCGCAACCCUUAAGCUUAGUUGCCAUCAUUAAGUUGGGCACUCUAAGUUGACUGCCGGUGACAAACCGGAGGAAGGUGGGGAUGACGUCAAAUCAUCAUGCCCCUUAUGAUUUGGGCUACACACGUGCUACAAUGGACAAUACAAAGGGCAGCGAAACCGCGAGGUCAAGCAAAUCCCAUAAAGUUGUUCUCAGUUCGGAUUGUAGUCUGCAACUCGACUACAUGAAGCUGGAAUCGCUAGUAAUCGUAGAUCAGCAUGCUACGGUGAAUACGUUCCCGGGUCU
rnacentral:rRNA from 1 species